UACGGGGGGAGCAAGCGUUGUUCGGAUUUACUGGGCGUAAAGGGCGCGUAGGCGGCGCAACAAGUCACUUGUGAAAUCUCUGGGCUCAACCCAGAACGGUCAAGUGAUACUGUCGUGCUAGAGUGCGGAAGGGGCAACUGGAAUUCUUGGUGUAGCGGUGAAAUGCGUAGAUAUCAAGAGGAACACCUGCGGCGAAGGCGGGUUGCUGGGCUGAUACUGACGCUGAGGCGCGAAAGCCAGGGGAGCGAACGGG
rnacentral:rRNA from 1 species